UGCUCCCGGAUGUUAGCGGCGGACGGGUGAGUAACACGUGGGUAACCUGCCUGUAAGACUGGGAUAACUCCGGGAAACCGGAGCUAAUACCGGAUAGUUCCUUGAACCGCAUGGUUCAAGGAUGAAAGACGGUUUCGGCUGUCACUUACAGAUGGACCCGCGGCGCAUUAGCUAGUUGGUGAGGUAACGGCUCACCAAGGCGACGAUGCGUAGCCGACCUGAGAGGGUGAUCGGCCACACUGGGACUGAGACACGGCCCAGACUCCUACGGGAGGCAGCAGUAGGGAAUCUUCCGCAAUGGACGAAAGUCUGACGGAGCAACGCCGCGUGAGUGAUGAAGGUUUUCGGAUCGUAAAGCUCUGUUGUUAGGGAAGAACAAGUGCAAGAGUAACUGCUUGCACCUUGACGGUACCUAACCAGAAAGCCACGGCUAACUACGUGCCAGCAGCCGCGGUAAUACGUAGGUGGCAAGCGUUGUCCGGAAUUAUUGGGCGUAAAGGGCUCGCAGGCGGUUUCUUAAGUCUGAUGUGAAAGCCCCCGGCUCAACCGGGGAGGGUCAUUGGAAACUGGGAAACUUGAGUGCAGAAGAGGAGAGUGGAAUUCCACGUGUAGCGGUGAAAUGCGUAGAGAUGUGGAGGAACACCAGUGGCGAAGGCGACUCUCUGGUCUGUAACUGACGCUGAGG
rnacentral:rRNA from 1 species